AGAAUUUAGCAGAGAUGCUUUAGUGCCUUCGGGAACUCUGAGACAGGUGCUGCAUGGCUGUCGUCAGCUCGUGUUGUGAAAUGUUGGGCUAAGUCCCGCAACGAGCGCAACCCCUUUAUCCUUUGUUGCCAGCACGUAAUGGUGGGAACUCAAAGGAGACUGCCGGUGAUAAACCGGAGGAAGGUGGGGAUGACGUCAAGUCAUCAUGGCCCUUACGAGUAGGGCUACACACGUGCUACAAUGGCGCAUACAAAGAGAAGCGACCUCGCGAGAGCAAGCGGACCUCAUAAAGUGCGUCGUAGUCCGGAUUGGAGUCUGCAACUCGACUCCAUGAAGUCGGAAUCGCUAGUAAUCGUAAAUCAGAAUGUUACGGUGAAUACGUUCCCGGGCCUUGUACACACCGCCCGUCACACCAUGAGAGUGGGUUGCAAAAGAAGUAGAUAGCUUAACCUUCGGGAGGGCGUUUACCACUUUGUGAUUCAUGACUGGGGUGAAGUCGUAACAAGGUAGGCGUAGUGCU
rnacentral:rRNA from 1 species